UUCAGAAGCCCCUCUUGAAGCACUGUCUUACCUUGGACUUUUAAAGUGGUUUUGUAGGUCCUGCUGAUCAGCUGAUUGACAGUACCUGCAUACAUCAUUUCAGCCAACCCCUGUAGAACAGGUGGGUGUGGAUUGCUCAAAAUGACCUCAUGGACCAAAUGGGGAGGCUUGGUAGGCCUAAUUAAGCCCAUGGGCUGGAGGUUCCUUCCCUAAGGUUGAUGUUGAAAGAGCUCCAUUGACUUUUCCAAGGUAAAAAGACCCACAGAUCCAAUCAUGUUGCUGAGAGGUGGGGAUGCUGCAAAGAGUAUGUGAAGUAAUGGGGCAUGGCCCAAGUCUGCAAUAAGGAAAGUUACAAAUCAGAAAUGAAUCUUGCUUGAAGUCAGUUUCCCUUUGCACUCAUUUUUCCUGGAUG